rnacentral:rRNA from 1 species
GAUGAACGCUAGCUACAGGCUUAACACAUGCAAGUCGAGGGGCAGCACGGAGAUAGCUUGCUAUCUUGGGUGGCGACCGGCGCACGGGUGAGUAGCGCGUAUCCAACCUGCCCAUUACUCUGGGAUAGCCUUGCGAAAGUAAGAUUAAUACCGGAUGUUGUUAAAAACCCGCAUGAGUUUUUAACCAAAGAUUUAUUGGUAAUGGAUGGGGAUGCGUGACAUUAGGUAGUUGGUGAGGUAACGGCUCACCAGGCCGACGAUGUCUAGGGGUUCUGAGAGGAAGGUCCCCCACACUGGAACAGAGACACGGUCCAGACUCCUACGGGAGGCAGCAGUGAGGAAUAUUGGUCAAUGGACGAGAGUCUGAACCAGCCAAGUAGCGUGCAGGAUGACGGCCCUCUGGGUUGUAAACUGCUUUUAGUUGGGAAUAAAAAGAGGGACGUGUCCCUAAUUGUAUGUACCAUCAGAAAAAGGACCGGCUAAUUCCGUGCCAGCAGCCGCCGUAACAC